rnacentral:lncRNA from 1 species
UAAAACGCACCAUUAUUCACUUGGCCCACACCUCUUUCGCCUUAACUUAUUAUUUGUGCAUUCAUUUAUUUGUUUAAUUUUGGCCUCCACUUACAAUUAUGCUUCACUGAAUAGUGACAGACACAAUGAAGAGGGAAAUGGUAUGGUGAAAAGUGCAAAAAAAUUGGGUUAAUCCAGCGAUUGCUUUCAGAGUUCUGACACAUCUAUCAGAAAGGCUUGUGCCA